CAGGAAGGUCAUUGUAUUGGCUCGGGGUGAGGGUUCUAAGCAGGAAGGUCUUUGUGUCAUUGUAUUGGCUCGGGGUGAGGGUUCUAAACAGGAAGGUCUUAGUGUCAUUGUAUUGGCUCGGGGUGAGUGUUCUAAACAGGAAGGUCUUUGUAUCAUUGUAUUGGCUCGGGGUGAGUGUUCUAAACAGGAAGGUCUUUGUAUCAUUGUAUUGGCUCGGGGUGAGGGUUCUAAACAGGAAGGUCUUUGUGUCAUUGUAUUGGCUUGGGGUGAGUGUUCUAAACAGGAAGGUCUUUGUAUCAUUGUAUUGGCUCGGGGUGAGUGUUCUAAACAGGAAGGUCUUAGUAUCAUUGUAUUGGCUCGGGGUGAGGGUUCUAAGCAGGAAGGUCUUUGUAUCAUUGUAUUGGCUCGGGGUGAGGGUUCUAAACAGGAAGGUCUUAGUGUCAUUGUAUUGGCUCGGGGUGAGUGUUCUAAACAGGAAGGUCUUUGUAUCAUUGUAUUGGCUCGGGGUGAGUGUUCUAAACAGGAAGGUCUUAGUGUCAUUGUAUUGGCUCGGGGUGAGGGUUCUAAACAGGAAGGUCUUUGUGUCAUUGUAUUGGCUCGGGGUGAGGGUUCUAAACAGGAAGGUCUUAGUGUCAUUGUAUUGGCUCGGGGUGAGGGUUCUAAACAGGAAGGUCUUUGUAUGGAUUGUAUUGGCUCGGGGUGAGGGUUCUAAACAGGAAGGGGUGGUGAUUUCUCCUGUAUUCUCUUCUUUCAGUGGGUUGCCUAAACCCCACCCCAUAGGCCCCUAUAUUCAAAUAAUGAAGAAAAACUGAGAUGGUAUGACAUGGUGUAAUAAUCACAAGAUCAUAAAGUCAGAGGCUUGUCAUAAUUAUUACACGGUUUGAUAACGCCAGAGGAAAUGAGCCCCUGGCCAUAGUUGUAAUGAGUACGCUGAGAGUCGGGAAGCAAGUUCAGGGAGUGAAUAAAUGUAAUAAAUAAAUGAACAAAACAAGAAACACAAACAGC
rnacentral:lncRNA from 1 species